GUUGAUCUUCGCACUGCAGGUAGGGAUUUUUCCCUUAUGAGCAACAUCCCAUCAUGGUUGUGUUGUUUUCAGGGCAUUAACUUUAAUUUCUCUUCCGUCAGUAUGUAUCUUAGUUCAGAACAACCUAAAAUAGAAAUAAAACAUGUGUGCUUAAUGACAGCUACAUUUUUAUGAUAUGAAUUGGGUGAUGAUUUUAUGACAUUGUCUUUAAUGAUUAUACAAUGAAUUCAUGGGAAAGUAGUCAAUUGGAUUUUAUAUGGAGGCUGCAGUUGCAGUGCAUGUUACAACUCUCUGCAUUGGAAGAACUAUGCUAUAAGUAACCUAGAGUUCUGCUCAGUCUUCAAACGUUAAUAUCAGAAUUCUCUGCACUAAAAUUACAGUUUCCUCUCAAUGGCUUUUUCAGUUAGAUUAUAACGGCUAAAUAACAUGAUAUUUCCAUCGUAGUUCCGUUCAUUAGUUUUAAGUAGGAAGUAGAUUUUAAGUGGGAAGUAGAUCCAGCCAAGGGCUGUUUUAGCCCUUGAACCAGACCAGGACUGGCCAGGGUCAAAUUUGGAACCAGACCUGGUCAACGGGUCUGGGCCUUGAACUGGG
rnacentral:misc_RNA from 1 species